UACGUAGGGGGCAAGCGUUGUCCGGAUUUAUUGGGCGUAAAGAGCUCGUAGGCGGUUUGGUAAGUCUGGUGUGAAAUCUCCACGCUCAACGUGGAGGGGCCACCCGAUACUGCCAUGACUGGAGUCCGGCAGAGGAGUGUGGAAUUCCCGGUGUAGCGGUGAAAUGCGCAGAUAUCGGGAGGAACACCCGUAGCGAAGGCGGCACUCUGGGCCGGUACUGACGCUGAGGAGCGAAAGCGUGGGGAGCAAACAGG
rnacentral:rRNA from 1 species